rnacentral:rRNA from 1 species
UACGAAGGGGGCUAGCGUUGUUCGGAAUUACUGGGCGUAAAGGGCGCGUAGGCGGCCUUCUAAGUCGAACGUGAAAUCCCCGGGCUCAACCCGGGAACUGCGUCCGAUACUGGAAGGCUUGAAUCCGGGAGAGGGAUGCGGAAUUCCAGGUGUAGCGGUGAAAUGCGUAGAUAUUCGGAAGAACACCAGUGGCGAAGGCGGCUCACUGGACUGGUAUUGACGCUGAGGUGCGAAAGCGUGGGGAGCAAACAGG